rnacentral:tRNA from 2 species
CAGAAAAUAGUUUAUUUAAAAUAUUAAUUUUGGAGAUUAAAGAUAAAGAUUCUUUUUUUCUGA